rnacentral:rRNA from 1 species
CCUACGGGGAGCUGCAGUGGGGAAUAUUGGACAAUGGGCGAAAGCCUGAUCCAGCCAUGCCGCGUGUGUGAAGAAGGCCUUCGGGUUGUAAAGCACUUUCAGUGGGGAAGAAAGCCUUGGGGCUAAUACCCUCGAGGAAGGACAUCACCCACAGAAGAAGCACCGGCUAACUCCGUGCCAGCAGCCGCGGUAAUACGGAGGGUGCGAGCGUUAAUCGGAAUUACUGGGCGUAAAGAGCGCGUAGGCGGUCUGAUAAGCCGGUUGUGAAAGCCCCGGGCUCAACCUGGGAACGGCAUCCGGAACUGUCAGGCUAGAGUGCAGGAGAGGAAGGUAGAAUUCCCGGUGUAGCGGUGAAAUGCGUAGAGAUCGGGAGGAAUACCAGUGGCGAAGGCGGCCUUCUGGACUGACACUGACGCUGAGGUGCGAAAGCGUGGGUAGCAAACAGGAUUAGAUACCCCAGUAGUC